UACGUAGGUGACAAGCGUUGUCCGGAUUUACUGGGCGUAAAGAGCGCGCAGGCGGUCGUUCAAGUCGAGUGUGAAAGCCCCCGGCUCAACUGGGGAGGGUCAUUCGAUACUGAUCGACUCGAAGGCAGGAGAGGGAAGUGGAAUUCCCUGUGUAGUGGUGAAAUGCGUAGAUAUCGGGAGGAACACCAGUGGCGAAGGCGACUUCCUGGCCUGUUCUUGACGCUGAGGCGCGAAAGCUAGGGGAGCAAACGGG
rnacentral:rRNA from 1 species